UACGAAGGGGGCUAGCGUUGCUCGGAAUUACUGGGCGUAAAGCGCACGUAGGCGGCUUUCUAAGUCGGGGGUGAAAUCCUGGAGCUCAACUCCAGAACUGCCUUCGAUACUGGAAAGCUCGAGUCCGGGAGAGGUGAGUGGAACUGCGAGUGUAGAGGUGAAAUUCGUAGAUAUUCGCAAGAACACCAGUGGCGAAGGCGGCUCACUGGCCCGGUACUGACGCUGAGGCACGAAAGCGUGGGGAGCGAACAGG
rnacentral:rRNA from 1 species